AACGAACGCUGGCGGCAUGCCUAACACAUGCAAGUCGAACGAGACCUUCGGGUCUAGUGGCGCACGGGUUCGUAACGCGUGGGAACCUGCCCUUAGGUUCGGAAUAACUCCCCGAAAGGGGUGCUAAUACCGGAUAAUGUCUUCGGACCAAAGAUUUAUCGCCUUUGGUUGGGCCCGCGUUGGAUUAGCUAGUUGGUAGGGUAAAAGCAUACCAAGGCGACGAUGCAUAGCUGGUAUGAGAGGAUGAUCAGCCACACUGGGACGGAGACACGGCCCAGACUACUACGGAAGGCAGAAGUGGGGAAGAGUGGAAAAUGGGGGAAAGCAUGAUGCAGCAAGGCCGCGAGAGUGAUGAAGGCCUUAGGGAAGGAAAGCUCUUUUAACCGGGAAGAGAAUGACAGUACCGGGAGAAAAAGCACCGGCUAACUACGUG
rnacentral:rRNA from 1 species